CAGUUCUCAGGUUUGCCUCUGCCCCUGGCCAUGGUACUGACCUCUUCAGAAUAGUGCUAACACCAAGUACUCUGCCCUAUAUACUUUGUAUGUGGUUAGUAUUUAAUGAAUAUAUGUUGGAUUUUUAUUGAAAUGAAUUGAAAAAAUGUACAGAGAUAGACAAAGAAAUGCUUAUAGGGGAGGAAGGAGUAGGACUUCAAUGAAUCAAUAUAAAUUUAUUAAGUAUCAUGUGCCAGGAAUCUAUUAGAUGUUGGAGAUACAAAUGUAAAAGUGAAUCAGUUUCUGCCUUUGAGGAACUUGUGCUAUAAUGAAGAAAUACAGCAUGUUUACAGAUGAUGGGUAAAUGAAAAUAUCCAAAGACUGAAAGAGAAGUACUGUGAGAGGAUUGGAAAUCUUUCUGUUAAAAGGCCAGGCACUCCCUUCCUGCAUCUUCAAGCAUCAACCACCAAAUGCCGCUUUCAUCUUCUGUUUGCUUCCAUUAGCCUCGUAUAGUAGAACAAAGCAAAACCCGUCAAAGCAUAAACUCAAUUACUCCAUUUGCACUGCACUAAAAUCUGCUGAUCCAUUUUCUAGUCACUGAAUUUACAAGGCAAUAAAGAGAUGCAUGCUGAUGAGUUCUGAUGAAAGACGGAAGUGGUGUAGCCUAGGACUUGCAUACCCAGGUACCAGCUAACCAGCCAGCAACCUGCGCAACUGUUUUUAUUGUAGCCAAUGUUGAAAUAAAAAUCCUAUUGUCUUCUCUUGCUCCCA